GCCAUACUUAGUAACUCCAAGGUCCCCAUCAGUGCUGGUCUCUAGGGUCUUUAUGAGCAUCCAUCCUCUGUCCUUUGGUUUCCCUGACCUGCAAGGAGGGGACUCCAGAUGUCCAGAAGUCCUGGUGUGCCUAGACAUGAGCUAGAGUCCUCACCAACAGAGAGGCAGUUCCUGAACCCUGACUGAAAGAGACCGAAUAGAUGUCUUUCCCAUAGGAGAGUUCCAGUUCUGAGGGACCUGCCACUCACAGGACAACCUCUACCACAACCACCACCCUGGGGACAGACAUUCGAUCCAGGUCGGGCCAGUCACCAUCCAUCCUGGGAUUUGAACAUCUAAGACCCAGGAAAGAGAACUGCUCUAUGCAGGUAGCUCUGGGCAGAGGAACCCUGCAGAAGCUGGUGGGUACCUUAUGCUGGCCUUAGAGAAGGAGGAGCAGAAGAGGAAAGAGGAGGCCGAUAACCAUGGGAAGCCAAGAAGACCCCUGGCCUCCCCCCGCCCCUGGUUGGUUUUGUGACCUAGUAACAUCCCCUUGUGCCUAACUGGCUCCAACUGGGGCUCCAACAUUUACCACCAUAAGGGUGCUGCUACAUCGUGGGCCUUCCAGACACUGGAGAAAGGACCCUCAGAGGUGUUUAGUAAAGUCUCCAUGCAGAGCCCAGGGGCCCCUGAUGGGCAUCCACUCACUUCCCCCAAGAUGG
rnacentral:lncRNA from 1 species